rnacentral:lncRNA from 1 species
CGGGCGGCGCCGGGCUGCGGUGAGGCGGAGAGCGGCGUGCGUGCGUAAACGUGGGAGGAUACAGGACAGGAGACCUGGAACGUCCGUGCCGUGAGAGACCGGCCGGUCCUCCUGCAGUCCUCUCACACCUGCAGGGUCAGAACAGGUGAACAGACUGAGACGGCUGUUGGUGUGCAGUCCCUGACAGGAGCAGCGGAAGAGCCUUAAGGAAGCGGGGCUCUCCCAGAAGAGAGAGGCACGCAAACACUGCUGCUGUAAAGCUUCAGGUGAUGGGCUGCGACAAUUGCGUGUGCAGCCCUGAGCUCCUCUGCACUCAGCGGUGAGAAACGGGACCCGCCAGAGAUCUGUCAGAGCGCUCCGUCUCUGCUGAGCGCGGUACCGACAGCCGCGCACCGCUCCGCGCCACUCACCGCGCCGCGUCCACCCGCAGCUCCUGGAGGGCCGUCCGCAGGCUGCGCUCCUCCUCGUCCUCGUCGUCGUCGUCCUCGUCCUCGUCGUCGUCCUGCUGCUGCUGCUGCUGCUCCUCCUCGUCCUCGUGCCGCCUGUUUGCAAGCCAAGGAC